rnacentral:rRNA from 1 species
GGGGCUAAACAUAUUACCGAAGCUGUGGAUUGUCCUUUGGACAAUGGUAGGAGAGCGUUCUAAGGGCGUUGAAGCAUGAUCGUAAGGACAUGUGGAGCGCUUAGAAGUGAGAAUGCCGGUGUGAGUAGCGAAAGACGGGUGAGAAUCCCGUCCACCGAUUGACUAAGGUUUCCAGAGGAAGGCUCGUCCGCUCUGGGUUAGUCGGGUCCUAAGCUGAGGCCGACAGGCGUAGGCGAUGGAUAACAGGUUGAUAUUCCUGUACCACCUAUAAUCGUUUUAAUCGAUGGGGGGACGCAGUAGGAUAGGCGAAGCGUGCGAUUGGAUUGCACGUCUAAGCAGUAAGGCUGAGUAUUAGGCAAAUCCGGUACUCGUUAAGGCUGAGCUGUGAUGGGGAGAAGACAUUGUGUCUUCGAGUCGUUGAUUUCACACUGCCGAGAAAAGCCUCUAGAUAGAAAAUAGGUGCCCGUACCGCAAACCGACACAGGUAGUCAAGAUGAGAAUUCUAAGGUGAGCGAGCGAACUCUCGUUAAGGAACUCGGCAAAAUGACCCCGUAACUUCGGGAGAAGGGGUGCUCUUUAGGGUUAACGCCCAGAAGAGCCGCAGUGAAUAGGCCCAAGCGACUGUUUAUCAAAAACACAGGUCUCUGCUAAACCGUAAGGUGAUGUAUAGGGGCUGACGCCUGCCCGGUGCUGGAAGGUUAAGAGGAGUGGUUAGCUUCUGCGAAGCUACGAAUCGAAGCCCCAGUAAACGGCGGCCGUAACUAUAACGGUCCUAAGGUAGCGAAAUUCCUUGUCGGGUAAGUUCCGACCCGCACGAAAGGCGUAACGAUUUGGGCACUGUCUCAACGAGAGACUCGGUGAAAUCAUAGUACCUGUGAAGAUGCAGGUUACCCGCGACAGGACGGAAAGACCCCGUGGAGCUUUACUGUAGCCUGAUAUUGAAAUUCGGCACAGCUUGUACAGGAUAGGUAGGAGCCUUUGAAACGUGAGCGCUAGCUUACGUGGAGGCGCUGGUGGGAUACUACCCUAGCUGUGUUGGCUUUCUAACCCGCACCACUUAUCGUGGUGGGAGACAGUGUCAGGCGGGCAGUUUGACUGGGGCGGUCGCCUCCUAAAAGGUAACGGAGGCGCUCAAAGGUUCCCUCAGAAUGGUUGGAAAUCAUUCAUAGAGUGUAAAGGCAUAAGGGAGCUUGACUGCGAGACCUACAAGUCGAGCAGGGUCGAAAGACGGACUUAGUGAUCCGGUGGUUCCGCAUGGAAGGGCCAUCGCUCAACGGAUAAAAGCUACCCCGGGGAUAACAGGCUUAUCUCCCCCAAGAGUUCACAUCGACGGGGAGGUUUGGCACCUCGAUGUCGGCUCAUCGCAUCCUGGGGCUGUAGUCGGUCCCAAGGGUUGGGCUGUUCGCCCAUUAAAGCGGUACGCGAGCUGGGUUCAGAACGUCGUGAGACAGUUCGGUCCCUAUCCGUCGUGGGCGUAGGAAAUUUGAGAGGAGCUGUCCUUAGUACGAGAGGACCGGGAUGGACAUACCUCUGGUGUACCAGUUGUCGUGCCAACGGCAUAGCUGGGUAGCUAUGUGUGGACGGGAUAAGUGCUGAAAGCAUCUAAGCAUGAAGCCCCCCUCAAGAUGAGAUUUCCCAACUUCGGUUAUAAGAUCCCUCAAAGAUGAUGAGGUUAAUAGGUUCGAGGUGGAAGCAUGGUGACAUGUGGAGCUGACGAAUACUAAUCGAUCGAAGACUUAAUCAAAA